UAUUUUUAUUAGCCUUAUGUAGUCAUGCGUAUAUAAAGAACAGUUUUGUAAAUUAAUUCUUACUUAAAAUGCAGCUGAAACCACUCAGCGUUGACCGGCGCUGCAGCGCUGUUUUCUUCAUGCACUGUCAAGCUGUAUGUGGCGCGAAACACUGUGAACUUUCAACCCUGAAGAUAAUGCAGACCUAACGUCUACAUUGGAAGAAAGCGCCAUCAGUCACAAAUGCUGCUUCGUCAUUGGUUAACUCAUAAGGGGGAGGCUGACCUAACGACGUCAAGUCGUACUACUCAUGAAGUUGGUGUCAGGAAGAAUGGAGGAAGAAACCGUUUCAGGACAAAAAAGAGGAUUGAAUGGCCCAGCAGGAAAUAAUAAAAAAGAGAUGCCCAAAAGAGCGCGAUACCCACCGAAGAAGAUGAGCUUUUAUGACCCAGACCCUGACUCACCCAGAGAUGACCAAGCUUACACCAUGCGCUGCAGUACGCUGGAUGAUUGGACACCAGUCGAAAAAAGCCUUGAUCAACAAAUGUCGCAUGAGGGGUACAACAUAAAUUCUAGACGUACUUAGACAUUUGUUGCAGUGUUCAAAGCCCUAAUACUGCUGGG